AACGAACGCUGGCGGCAUGCCUAACACAUGCAAGUCGAACGAGACCUUCGGGUCUAGUGGCGCACGGGUGCGUAACGCGUGGGAACCUGCCCUUAGGUUCGGAAUAACUCCCCGAAAGGGGUGCUAAUACCGGAUAAUGUCUUCGGACCAAAGAUUUAUCGCCUUUGGAUGGGCCCGCGUUGGAUUAGCUAGUUGGUAGGGUAAAAGCCUACCAAGGCGACGAUCCAUAGCUGGUCUGAGAGGAUGAUCAGCCACACUGGGACUGAGACACGGCCCAGACUCCUACGGAGGGCAGCAGUGGGGAAUAUUGGACGAUGGGCGAAGGCCUGAUCCAGCAAUGCCGCGUGAGUGAUGAAGGCGUUAGGGUUGUAAAGCUCUCUUACCCGGGAUGAUAAUGACGGUACCGGGAGAAUAAGCUCCGGCUAACUCCGUG
rnacentral:rRNA from 1 species